rnacentral:rRNA from 1 species
CACAUGCAAGUCGAACGGAAAGGCUCCUUGCUUGCAAGGGGUACUCGAGUGGCGAACGGGUGAGUAACACGUGGGUGAUCUGCCUUGCACUUCGGGAUAAGCCUGGGAAACUGGGUCUAAUACCGGAUAGGACCAUGCUUUAGUGUGUGUGGUGGAAAGUUUUUCGGUGCAAGAUGAGCCCGCGGCCUAUCAGCUUGUUGGUGGGGUAAUGGCCUACCAAGGCGACGACGGGUAGCCGGCCUGAGAGGGUGUACGGCCACAUUGGGACUGAGACACGGCCCAGACUCCUACGGGAGGCAGCAGUGGGGAAUAUUGCACAAUGGGCGCAAGCCUGAUGCAGCGACGCCGCGUGGGGGAUGACGGCCUUCGGGUUGUAAACUCCUUUCGCUAGGGAAGAAGCCUUUUGGUGACGGUACCUGGAUAAGAAGCACCGGCUAACUACGUGCCAGCAGCCGCGGUAAUACGUAGGGUGCGAGCGUUGUCCGGAAUUACUGGGCGUAAAGAGCUCGUAGGUGGUUUGUCGCGUCGUCUGUGAAAUCCCGGGGCUUAACUUCGGGCGUGCAGGCGAUACGGGCAUAACUAGAGUGCUGUAGGGGAGACUGGAAUUCCUGGUGUAGCGGUGAAAUGCGCAGAUAUCAGGAGGAACACCGAUGGCGAAGGCAGGUCUCUGGGCAGUUACUGACGCUGAGGAGCGAAAGCAUG